rnacentral:rRNA from 1 species
UACGUAGGGGGCAAGCGUUGUCCGGAAUCAUUGGGCGUAAAGAGUGUGUAGGCGGACUUCUAAGUACCUUGUGAAAUCCCACGGCUCAACCGUGGAACUGCUCGGUAUACUGGUUGUCUUGAGCCAUCUAGGGGCGAGCGGAACAAGUGGUGGAGCGGUGAAAUGCGUAGAUAUCACUUGGAACGCCAACGGUGAAAACAGCUCGCUGGGGAUGUGCUGACGCUGAGACACGAAAGCCAGGGGAGCGAACGGG